GGACGAGAGGAUGAUUUAUCAACAUCAAGCAUAGUUCAACAGAGGUGCUACUACACCAAUGUUGACAAACCGAUAGCAUUGUCUUUCGCUCCUAUCUGAUCACGUUC
rnacentral:snoRNA from 1 species